GGAUGUGAGGGCGAUCUGGCUGCAACAUCUGUCACCCCAUUGAUCGCCAGGGUUGAUUCGGCUGAUCUGGCUGGCUAGGCAGGUGUCCCCUUCCUCCCUCACCGCUCCAUGUACAUCCCUCCCGAAGCUGCGUGCUCAGUGGAAGAGGACGACGUCCCAGGUAUAGAAGGAGUGUACCGAGGUCUCCAGACUUCGGUCCCAGGUAUACAAUAGCUGCGCUCCCUUGCUAGAACCUCCAAACAUUAAAAACCUCCAGAGAAGGAGUCCUCGCCUCACUCUGAGGCAGCAUAUUCUACUGCUAAACAGCUCUUAUUAUCAGGAAGUUCUUACUAAUGUUUAGGUAGAAUAUCUUUUU
rnacentral:snRNA from 1 species